GAUGAACGCUGGCGGCGUGCUUAACACAUGCAAGUCGAACGGAAAGGCUCCUGCUUGCAGGGGUACUCGAGUGGCGAACGGGUGAGUAACACGUGGGUGAUCUGCCCUGCACUUCGGGAUAAGCCUGGGAAACUGGGUCUAAUACCGGAUAGGACGAUGGUUUGGAUGCCAUUGUGGAAAGUUUUUCGGUGUGGGAUGAGCUCGCGGCCUAUCAGCUUGUUGGUGGGGUAAUGGCCUACCAAGGCGUCGACGGGUAGCCGGCCUGAGAGGGUGUACGGCCACAUUGGGACUGAGAUACGGCCCAGACUCCGACGGGAGGCAGCAGUGGGGAAUAUUGCACAAUGGGCGCAAGCCUGAUGCAGCGACGCCGCGUGGGGGAGGACGGCCUUCGGGUUGUAAACUCCUUUCGCUAGGGACGAAGCGUUUUGUGACGGUACCUGGAGAAGAAGCACCGGCUAACUACGUG
rnacentral:rRNA from 1 species